UUAAGCGACUAAGCGUACACGGUGGAUGCCCUGGCAGUCAGAGGCGAUGAAGGACGUGCUAAUCUGCGAUAAGCGUCGGUAAGGUGAUAUGAACCGUUAUAACCGGCGAUUUCCGAAUGGGGAAACCCAGUGUGUUUCGACACACUAUCAUUAACUGAAUCCAUAGGUUAAUGAGGCGAACCGGGGGAACUGAAACAUCUAAGUACCCCGAGGAAAAGAAAUCAACCGAGAUUCCCCCAGUAGCGGCGAGCGAACGGGGAGCAGCCCAGAGCCUGAAUCAGUGUGUGUGUUAGUGGAAGCGUCUGGAAAGGCGCGCGAUACAGGGUGACAGCCCCGUACACAAAAAUACACAUACUGUGAGCUCGAUGAGUAGGGGCGGGACACGUGGUAUCCUGUCUGAAUAUGGGGGGACCAUCCUCCAAGGCUAAAUACUCCUGACUGACCGAUAGUGAACCAGUACCGUGAGGGAAAGGCGAAAAGAACCCCGGCGAGGGGAGUGAAAAAGAACCUGAAACCGUGUACGUACAAGCAGUGGGAGCACGCUUAGGCGUGUGACUGCGUACCUUUUGUAUAAUGGGUCAGCGACUUAUAUUCUGUAGCAAGGUUAACCGAAUAGGGGAGCCGAAGGGAAACCGAGUCUUAACUGGGCGUUAAGUUGCAGGGUAUAGACCCGAAACCCGGUGAUCUAGCCAUGGGCAGGUUGAAGGUUGGGUAACACUAACUGGAGGACCGAACCGACUAAUGUUGAAAAAUUAGCGGAUGACUUGUGGCUGGGGGUGAAAGGCCAAUCAAACCGGGAGAUAGCUGGUUCUCCCCGAAAGCUAUUUAGGUAGCGCCUCGUGAAUUCAUCUCCGGGGGUAGAGCACUGUUUCGGCAAGGGGGUCAUCCCGACUUACCAACCCGAUGCAAACUGCGAAUACCGGAGAAUGUUAUCACGGGAGACACACGGCGGGUGCUAACGUCCGUCGUGAAGAGGGAAACAACCCAGACCGCCAGCUAAGGUCCCAAAGUCAUGGUUAAGUGGGAAACGAUGUGGGAAGGCCCAGACAGCCAGGAUGUUGGCUUAGAAGCAGCCAUCAUUUAAAGAAAGCGUAAUAGCUCACUGGUCGAGUCGGCCUGCGCGGAAGAUGUAACGGGGCUAAACCAUGCACCGAAGCUGCGGCAGCGACGCUGAUGCGUUGUUGGGUAGGGGAGCGUUCUGUAAGCCUGCGAAGGUGUGCUGUGAGGCAUGCUGGAGGUAUCAGAAGUGCGAAUGCUGACAUAAGUAACGAUAAAGCGGGUGAAAAGCCCGCUCGCCGGAAGACCAAGGGUUCCUGUCCAACGUUAAUCGGGGCAGGGUGAGUCGACCCCUAAGGCGAGGCCGAAAGGCGUAGUCGAUGGGAAACAGGUUAAUAUUCCUGUACUUGGUGUUACUGCGAAGGGGGGACGGAGAAGGCUAUGUUGGCCGGGCGACGGUUGUCCCGGUUUAAGCGUGUAGGCUGGUUUUCCAGGCGAAUCCGGAAAAUCAAGGCUGAGGCGUGAUGACGAGGCACUACGGUGCUGAAGCAACAAAUGCCCUGCUUCCAGGAAAAGCCUCUAAGCAUCAGGUAACAUCAAAUCGUACCCCAAACCGACACAGGUGGUCAGGUAGAGAAUACCAAGGCGCUUGAGAGAACUCGGGUGAAGGAACUAGGCAAAAUGGUGCCGUAACUUCGGGAGAAGGCACGCUGAUAUGUAGGUGAAGUCCCUCGCGGAUGGAGCUGAAAUCAGUCGAAGAUACCAGCUGGCUGCAACUGUUUAUUAAAAACACAGCACUGUGCAAACACGAAAGUGGACGUAUACGGUGUGACGCCUGCCCGGUGCCGGAAGGUUAAUUGAUGGGGUCAGCGCAAGCGAAGCUCUUGAUCGAAGCCCCGGUAAACGGCGGCCGUAACUAUAACGGUCCUAAGGUAGCGAAAUUCCUUGUCGGGUAAGUUCCGACCUGCACGAAUGGCGUAAUGAUGGCCAGGCUGUCUCCACCCGAGACUCAGUGAAAUUGAACUCGCUGUGAAGAUGCAGUGUACCCGCGGCAAGACGGAAAGACCCCGUGAACCUUUACUAUAGCUUGACACUGAACAUUGAGCCUUGAUGUGUAGGAUAGGUGGGAGGCUUUGAAGUGUGGACGCCAGUCUGCAUGGAGCCGGCCUUGAAAUACCACCCUUUAAUGUUUGAUGUUCUAACGUUGACCCGUAAUCCGGGUUGCGGACAGUGUCUGGUGGGUAGUUUGACUGGGGCGGUCUCCUCCUAAAGAGUAACGGAGGAGCACGAAGGUUGGCUAAUCCUGGUCGGACAUCAGGAGGUUAGUGCAAUGGCAUAAGCCAGCUUGACUGCGAGCGUGACGGCGCGAGCAGGUGCGAAAGCAGGUCAUAGUGAUCCGGUGGUUCUGAAUGGAAGGGCCAUCGCUCAACGGAUAAAAGGUACUCCGGGGAUAACAGGCUGAUACCGCCCAAGAGUUCAUAUCGACGGCGGUGUUUGGCACCUCGAUGUCGGCUCAUCACAUCCUGGGGCUGAAGUAGGUCCCAAGGGUAUGGCUGUUCGCCAUUUAAAGUGGUACGCGAGCUGGGUUUAGAACGUCGUGAGACAGUUCGGUCCCUAUCUGCCGUGGGCGCUGGAGAACUGAGGGGGGCUGCUCCUAGUACGAGAGGACCGGAGUGGACGCAUCACUGGUGUUCGGGUUGUCAUGCCAAUGGCACUGCCCGGUAGCUAAAUGCGGAAGAGAUAAGUGCUGAAAGCAUCUAAGCACGAAACUUGCCCCGAGAUGAGUUCUCCCUGACUCCUUGAGAGUCCUGAAGGAACGUUGAAGACGACGACGUUGAUAGGCCGGGUGUGUAAGCGCAGCGAUGCGUUGAGCUAACCGGUACUAAUGAACCGUGAGGCUUAACCUU
rnacentral:rRNA from 1 species